rnacentral:rRNA from 1 species
CAGCCGCCGCGGUAAUACGAAGGGGGCUAGCGUUGUUCGGAAUUACUGGGCGUAAAGGGCGCGUAGGCGGCCAUUCAAGUUAGAUGUGUAAGCCCUGGGCUCAACCUAGGAAUUGCAUUUGAUACUGUUUGGCUUGAGUUCGGGAGAGGUGAGUGGAAUUCCCAGUGUAGAGGUGAAAUACGUAGAUAUUGGGAAGAACACCAGUGGCGAAGGCGGCUCACUGGACCGACACUGACGCUGAGGCGCGAAAGCGUGGGGAGCAAACAGGAUUAGAUACCCCCGUAGUCCCUGUCUCUUAUAA